rnacentral:rRNA from 1 species
GACAGAGGGUGCAAACGUUGCUCGGAAUUACUGGGCGUAAAGCGCAUGUAGGCGGACGUGCAAGUCGGAUGUGAAAUCCCUCGGCUCAACCAAGGAAGUGCAUCCGAAACUGCAGAGCUUGAGUACGAAAGAGGAUCGCGGAAUUCCCGGUGUAGAGGUGAAAUUCGUAGAUAUCGGGAGGAACACCAGUGGCGAAGGCGGCGAUCUGGGUCGAUACUGACGCUGAGGUGCGAAAGCGUGGGGAGCAAACAGG